ensembl:lncRNA
ACAUUUAAAUGGUGGUUGUCACUAAAACGUGACAGAUUUAUUUAAAUUAAAUAUUGUAGAACAGUAAAACAUGAUAAUGAUUUCUUGCUGACUAAUGAAUUCAUGGUCACUGAAUAUGUUUUACUGUGGUAAAUGUGAUUUUACGCGACACAUUGUUUAUAAGCUAUUGUCGUCUUUCCAUGUUUGAAACACUGACUGAGCGAUUACAUGAGACAGGAUACGGAUUUCAGUAAGUUAUACUCUUUCUUUUAACAUAGCUUCGGAUGUUCAUUCAUGUUUAUUUCAUGCUGAAACUGUUAUUAAAGCAGAGAUUAUCAGUUCACGCUGCCGCUUCUGACUGAGGCUUUACAGCGAUCUGUCACUCUAUAUUAAACAGCGCCAAAACGGCAUUGAAUAUUUGAAUAUCGUUAUAAAAUGGACAGAAUUUAAAAAUCUGAGACUUUGUUUCAUAUCAAAAGUAACAAAUCACAAAGCUUAUUGCAAUUUAUUGGAUGGGAGGCACGCUACAUUGUUUUGUUUAUUAUCUGACAGGCUAGGCUCUUGGGAUUUAUGAAUCUAUAUUGUUUCGAGAAAUCUUUUUUUUUUUUUUACCCAGCCCUAGUAAUUAUAGUUACAUUUUAGCGUUUUAUAUAUAUAUGGUUUUAAAGUGGAAAUGAAGCAGUCAGUCAAAUUUACAUUAUUUAGGAAAAUAACUUCCAUUACAAUAAAUAUAUAUAUAACAAACAUGAUUAAUGUAACCAUUUUAAAGAAAAAGAGGUUGUUUUGUUAUAGCUUUUGGAGCAAGGGCGCUGCCAUCUUGCAGUACCACACGCGUGAUGUCACGGGGUUGGUUCACUCCAAUGGCCAGUGAAGUAAUAUAAGCAUUUCUUUACAUUUUGAACACAAGCUUGUUUUGAAAUGGAGGAAGAUGACCUUGAAAGCACUGUUAAGUCCAUAAUAAGCGCAAGUGCCUAUGCAUUUGAGUCGAUACUGUGUGGAUCGGAAACAAUACUUGUUUACGUGGAUACUCCUCAAGACUGUCAUUCUGACGUGCUUUGUGUGCAUUUGCUGAUGAAGGUGCAAAAGAAAGCUCAAUUUGGUAGCCUACACAUGUGCUGUCCAAGCCAAGCUGUGGCUUUGUGUGUGUGUGUGUGUGUGUGUGGCGCCGCCGGCGCAAACAGAAAUGGUCUAUCACAACGCCUGAGUAACACAUUUAAAAUCUCUUUCAGAAAAGGUCUAUCACAGCGUGUAAGUACCGCAUGGAAAUCUAUUCCGUGCUGUCUCACUCUUAAAUGGCUUAAAACACUUUAA